CUCAACUCAUAUUUCAAUUUUUCUAGGCAGUCCCUCUUAAUAUUUUGAAUCAAAAGACAUCCCUCUACUUUCUUGCCUUUUCUUGACUUAUUUGUAACUCUAAAGAAUGGAAAUGGCUCCAUCACAUUUUAUUAAUUUCUAUAUGUCUCUAGCACCUAGAAAAAUGUUUCUAUAUUAUUUGUAGAAUUAGGUUUCUGUUGCUGUGGUAACAAAUUCUCAUAAACUUAGUGGGUGAAGCAAUAUGACUUUUCCCAGUUCUGUGGUCAGAAUCCUGAUACAGCGUGGCUUAUCUGUUUUGAUUGUUUGUUUGUUUUUUAAGUGUCACAAGACCAAAGUCAAGGUACCAACAGGGCCAAGUUUAUUUAUGGAGGCUCUACAGGAGAAUCUACUUCCAAGCUCAUGCAUUUUGUUUUUUUGUUCUGGCAAGAUAUGAAGACAAUGAAGAAGCACUCCUUGCCAUCAGGUUGCUUUCAGUCUACAUCAUGGCAUACAGAAAAAAUAUAUGCUUUAUGGAGUAGCAGUCAUGAAGAAAAUAUUUUCCAGUAACUUUGGGUGAGGGAGAUGAAACUGUAACAUUGUGAACUAUGGACCCAGGAUAACAGACUAAAGUCAAAGAAAUAGAUUAAGAAGACUACGCUAAUCUAUAUUUAACAAUGAUUAUUAUUUAUAAAAUGCUUUGGAGUUUUAAAAACAUUUUCACAUAAUUAUCUCACAAUAAAUGAGAGUCAGUAUAAGUAAGUGACUUAACUCAUAGUUGAGGAACUAGUACUUGAAUAAGGCUGGGAAUUGAACUUGUGUCCUCUUCAUCCAAAACUGAUAUUCAUUAUAUCAUACCAAACUAUCAGGAAAUUCCAUAUAGUAAAUAACUUGCAUUUCCUUUAUCUUCUUUUCCAUAUUGGUCUCAUGAGAACACUGCAUCUUCCACUUUUCCAUGGUAGCACUAAUCACAAUUACACUUAAAAUAGUUUGUUGUGUACUAUAAUUUUUCUGUGGUAGGAUCCAAUUCAGGAUCACAUGUUCCAUUGUGUUGUCAUAUUUCUUUAGUUGCCUUUAGUAUAGUAGAUUUCCUCAGAAUGUAUUUUUCUUUCAUUACCUUAGUAUUUUUAAAGAGUGUGAGCCAUUUAUUUUGUAGACUCCCUCUCAAUUUGGCUUGUCUGAGGUCUACUGAAGAUUAGAUUUAUGUUACGCAUUCAGGAGAUAUACCACAGAUAUGGCGUUGAGUCCUUCUAGUGCAUUGUAUCGAGAGACAUCUAGCAAUGACUACCAUUAUCCAGAUAUGGGAUCCUAGAAACUAUUCUCAUUAAAAAUAACAAAGGGCUGCCUUGAGAAAUGCCUAAUUUCAGAGUUGAAACUGGAAUAUCCAGAAUCAUCCUGAAACAACUUGCUAUUCCAGAAAAUAAGGAAGCUGUUAAACAAUAAUGAUUACAAGCCAAAAGGACAUAAUAUCCAAAUGUAAUGCAUUGCCACUGGACAGAUCUGUGAGAAUUUGAGCAUUAGAAUGAGAACUAAUAAGAGUGAGUUGUAACCUAUUGAUUAAAUAAUUGAUAAGUUCAUUAAGCAUAGAAAAAAGGAAGAAUAUUAGAAAGCUUCUUUUUCAAUAAUAUAUGUAGAAGAAAUGUAAUUUUUUAAAUAAAAUUUAUAAGACCCAAUCUUCUGCUCGGCUCAU
rnacentral:lncRNA from 1 species